rnacentral:rRNA from 1 species
AAAUAACGUCCCAGUUCGGAUUGCAGUCUGCAACUCGACUGCAUGAAGCUGGAAUCGCUAGUAAUCGCGAAUCAGCAUGUCGCGGUGAAUACGUUCCCGGGUCUUGUACACACCGCCCGUCACACCAUGGGAGUCGGAAAUGCCCGAAGCCAGUGACCCAACCUUUAAGGAGGGAGCUGUCGAAGGCAGGUCUGGUAACUGGGGUGAAGUCGUAACAAGGUAAC